rfam:Brassica napus, WGS project CCCW01000000 data, contig: 7123
GGUCCCGUAGCUCGCUUGGUCUUAUGAGCUGAAUGUCACGGGUUCGAGCCCCGCCGGGACCA